GGAAGCCGUGUGAGUCGAGAGAUUCACGCACGGUUUUAGAAGCAGCUGGCGGAGGAAGUUCCGCUGGCUGACUGACCCAGACAACCCCUUUAAAGCAACCUCUUCAUUUUUAUUUCAUUUUAU
rfam:Gammaproteobacteria bacterium RIFCSPHIGHO2_12_FTLL_40_19 rifcsphigho2_12_scaffold_14287, whole genome shotgun sequence.